UCAACACACACACACACACCCACACACACACGCACACUAAUUGUUAGCUUAUGUCAUCCUGCUGCUCCUGCUAGCGUUUUUAACUGCAGUGACUAUGUAUGUCCUGAAAGAAUGUUAACUGGCAUUCCCAGUAUUUUCCUUUUUUUCGUCCCUCCACAUUUUGGCCGGAAAUCCGUGAGAAACUUGCAGCAAACUGUUACUUCACACUGCCUGGCAACACGAAACCAGCGGUAGUCUCACUUCAUUGCUCUGUUAGCUAACUGCUAGGUAAGUUCUUCUGCUAGCAGGGAGGUCACGACGGAUGCAAGUUGAUGUCAGCUAAACUAAGAGUCAUUUUUUGUCUGGCAUGUAAACUCUCAACCUUCUCCAGAACCGUAGCAUCACAUGUUCAGUGAGCCUCACCUGUAACAAUGCGUGUAACACAACCCAGGAACUACAGCUCUGGUGAGAGAGCAGGCUAUCUCAUCUACCUGUCUCCAGAGACCUGUGCUGCUUCUCUCUGGGGUCCCAAAAUGCUAAAAAUAUGCACUCUAUUUAAAGACAUUAUGGCCUGCAUCUAAAGAUACUCUGUGUAGCCUUUAUGCUCAGCAUUGCAGUUGAAACUGUUAACGUAAGCUGGUUAAAUCAAUUAGUCACAUUUGAUAACCAAUUUAAUUAUUCUCUCCAUUAAAUCAGCCAAACUGUCACUGGAUUUAGCUUUUAUAAAUGUGUGGAUUUGCUACUUUUCAGUGUUGUGUUUUUUGUCUACAUGGAAUAUCUUUGGAUUUUAGACCAUCGCUCAGACAAUAUAAGAACACAAAUCAAUAGUUUCUAAUUGCACUACAGCCCCUCUUUGCUCUGACGUUGCUUUGCAUCCAUCCACCGGAUUUGUUGAAUUUGGCAUUUUGCCAGCGUGAACUGCUUUGACAUCAUAUUUCACGAUUGGUCAAUUUAAUGCUUACCCUUUUAAAGCUCACCCAUCGGUUUCACUGCCCUUUUCCCAUACAUUAAUCAGCCGUGAGUGGGCUAGUAACUAUCCGCAAGGCCAGGUUUAUAAAUGCUAAACCGCCUUUACUGCCUCUUUAUCAUCCUCCAAUGCACCAGUAACCUGUUGUUGCCGGUGGUUUGAAUCCCCCACGGGCUAUGUGAGCAGUAUAGAUAGCGACAGUGAAUAAGGGGAAGCAAUAUAAUAAUUAUAGUGCCUGACCCCCCUCCUGGCCUCACUCUAAGUGUUGCCAUUUCAGCUGAUUUUUCCCCUCCUUCUGGAGAGGAUUGCUGCUGUAAUUUCUCUCCAGUGUGAGCUGUAAAUAAUAUUUUGUGCGGGGCAGUCAGCCACACUGCCAUUGAUGCGCACAGCGCCGUUAUCUGAGGCUCUGGCUGUCAGCCUCCUGAUACACACUGAAGCCCACGGGGGGUACAUGUGCAUCAUGAAGCGGGAGAGCAGAUAGAGGGAAGAGUGUAACUGCUCAUACCAAAAGGCACCGAGGAGGCUUCAUGUGUCUCACUUGACUCUUCCACCAUGAUGCGCUGGGCCGCUAAACCCUGAGUGUGUCUUUUGGAAAAUCAGUAAAGAUGGCUGUGGGGGGAGGGGGGCUCCAGAGGUUGUAAUGCUCUGAUAGGAAUGUGAAAUCACACAGUUGCCUUUGAUGUUCGUUCAAGCCCUUGAAGGCAGCAGUGUGAUCUGUGAGAGGUGGAGCCUGGCGGUGAUAGUAUUCAUUGAGGGAGCCCCUGCCUUGAAUGCAAGGAGAACAGCACCGUCACAUGAAAACACCAUCAACCAGGCAGCACCUCAGAAGGCCUCCUCCUACUCUCUAGCUUGGUUGAAAUCCCACUUGGGAAGUUGACCGUUGUAGUACUGUAGCAAGUAUUCCGCUGCCCAGUAAUGUAGUACACUGAAGCUCGACAGGUACUCUUACCCUGCGCUCAAAGACAGGAAACGGUGCCGGUGAAACAAAUGGAAUUACUUUGAGUUAAUACAAUUAUAGAAUUUAGUGCUGAAACAAUUAGUUCUGUAAUCACUUAGCUAAACAAGCAUUUUGAUAAUCAGAUAAUCAUUGAUUUAUUUAAGGCAAAUCUACUAAAUGUUCUCUUUUUCUAGCUUCUUGAUUGUGGUGAUUUGCUGCUUUUUUUAUCUUAUGUGAUAGUCAACGCAAUAUCUUUUAACUCUAUUUUAGAACACUUUAUUUACAAAACAAUUAAUUGAAGAUAAUAAUAAAACCCAAAAUAUGAUGGGUAUGUUAACAAAAACAAACUUAAGUUAGCUGGACUGUUUCAAGGUUUCUUGUGUGAAGUAUAAGAUGUGAAGGUUGUUUUUUACCACACAUGAUGUAGGAAGACAUCAACGGCAGCCUCUUAGGGUUAUUUACGAGCCGUAGAACGCUUAUAUAUUAUGUAUUUUGUCUCAGUUUUCACGAUGGUGAAGAUAUUCUAGCCUCCAGUUUUUCCUUUUGGUUUAGAUUUAGAUUCACAAGCACCCCAGUGAUGUCUUGACAUUUAAGACAUAUUUGCCCUUGCUUUGAGAGUUGUUCUAGUUUUAGGGUGCAAUGCACUUGUGUGUUUUAAGGCUGUGUAGUGAAGUCUCAACUAUUUAGUGCGUCUGAUCAGGGGUCCUGCUCCUUCUCGGCAGGGCUUCCCCCUCACCCUUCUGCCCUCCUCUCCAGCUCUCCUCAGCCUGUCCAUCCUGCUGCAGACUGUUGCACUGGAUCCUGCCAGUCUCAGAUCUGUCUCUACUUGAUUGUGACCCAUUCCCCAGUAAAAAGGCCCUUACCUGGCAGGAGAUGUUGUUGUGUAUGUUUUGAAGUGUUGCCUGUCAAAUGCGUUUGGGAGCCCCAGGGCUCUGCAAACCGGUUUCUCAGGCCACCUAAGAGCAAUGGCAGUUCUGAGACUAGCACACAAACCUGUGUGUACACACUAACACAACUGCACAUUAAGGUGAUUUUGUGCCAACGUAAACACACAAGGUUGAAUUUAUUUUCACUGUCACCACUCUUCCCAGGGGAAGCAAUAAAAGAGGAUGUUUUUGUACCUGCUGCUGAACGAUACAGUAGUUCCAUGCAAAUUGGUCUAAUUUCCAGCAUUCUAAGCACUUUGUACCCGAUGCUGUUUUCAUGACUGUAUUUUGGUUCUGCUGGAUGACUUACCCUGCUUCAGAAUGCUCCAAAUUGUGUUUUUUUUUUUUUUUUAUAUAUUGCAGGACAGUCUUGCUUUUAUAUACUCUAGCUAGUAGCACCUGUUGUAAACAUAUUGGAGCAUUAGAGAGCAGUUAGGUUAAGAGUCUCCUCUGAAGGCAACAGACCAUACAAGGCAUCGUAGGACCAUUUGAUUUAUCAGGUCUGUUUGAUUAGGAGAGAUGCGUAUUGAUUAGAGCUGUGCUCCGUUUUGCCGCCAUUAGUCUUGCACCGUGAAUUGGCUUGCGAACAGAAUUGCUUACUCCGAUUUCUUUCUCUUCCUUCCUCUCUCCAUCUGGUCUCCUGCAUGCUGCCCAGUAAUGGAAACCCAGCCAAAGGAGCUCAUCUGCAACACACAGCAGGAUGAUAAAUAUAUUUAGUGUGGGGAGGGUGGCAGUGUGAAGGAAUAAACGGCCGGUGGUGGGACAGCGGGCUGAUGAAAUAUAGUGGGGGGGAGUAAAGAACGCCCUUCGUGACUCAAACCCGAAACACUGGAAACCAGGGGGGUGUACUUGUCGCCUCUUUGCACCGCUCCAUCUCCUCCUCCACCUAAUGGACACUCUUUUCAGCUUCCUGUAGCGGUUCACAUUGGAGUGGAUGGGUCAAUUUAGAUACAAGGGGACCAUGGAUGGCUUUUUGUGGCAAUUUUCCACUUCCUUUUAAAAGCUAGGUUGAAUUCUCAGUUUGUACCUCUAAAUAAUUCAGGUUGCUUCAUUUAUUUUGAAUUCUGCUCACAUCACUCCUCCUUUUUCCUGACCCACGUAUCCUCGCAGGGCUAGCAGCCCUCCAAACGCAUGCUCGUCAUCCAUAUAUGUAUAAAGGCUCAUCCAGAGAUUUUUCUGUGCCAUGCUCCAGCUCUAGCAUUACCCAGAGAGCAUUCGCAGUGAGAUGUGAAGAGAAUGCUGAGAUGUGUGUGUGUGUGUUUUUUUUUUUUUGUGUCUGUCUCUCUCUCUGUGUCUGAGCACGGAGGGAGGAGGUGAGACGCCAGCAUCUGUGAUGGUUAGUCAUACCAGUUUAUUUUUUUGUUGUUGUCGCCUGACGGAAAAGAAACUGCAAAGUCCAUGUGAGGAUUUAACAAGUGCUGCGUGACAUUCCCCCUCCCACACGCGCACACACUCUCGCAUGAACACCCAGGCUAGGCAACAGCCUGCAACGGUUAUUUCCACCACAAACUCGCAGCUAUGCAGGCGGUACAGCUCCGUCACAGGGAGGAACAUGAGUGUUUUUAACGUGGUGGCAGUUCAGUGGGAGAAGACGUCUGGUGAGAAAAGCCAACCCCAAAUCAACCAUCUGAGGAGAAGCAGGAAAGAGCCACAUUGAUUUUUGUCAUCAGACCCAUUGCCCUCCAAUGCAGUGUCUCAGGAUAAUUAAUUGAAUAGCAAUUACAGCCAGUGGAGCUCGGUACAUUAUUAAAGAUAAUGUCAUCAGUAGGGCUUCAGCUGAGAUAGAGAUUGUUAUAAAAUCUUGUCAGCAUCAUUAGGACGCACUGUAAAUGCCUUUCUGUUGGUGUUGCAUGGCUCUCUGCCAGACGUGGGGGGGGGGGGGAUUGAAGCCAUUGUAUUUUGCAGUUUAGUUAUGUACACUACAUAGACAAAAGCAGCUGGAUCCAGCAUCUUCAUUGUAAGAAGCUGAAUCUGGUGAUUUGUCGCACACAUGCACAGAGUGUAUGUGCACUUGGCUGGAAAAACCGUACUCCAUUUAUGGCUACACUACUUUAAAUUCUCUUUAAUUAUGGAUUAAAGUGCGACUAGGCUGCUGCUCAAAAUGUGCUCAGUUUACCCGCUCUUAAAGCACAAAGCAAGGAGCUUUUUCUUCCAUAAGAGUCCUUUUCACUUUAGUCAUUCUCUCCAGGACUUACUGAGCUAACUUGUCUACAGGAUGGUAGCUGUGGGGACAAAGUUCAAGCUGGAGUAACAUAUAAUCUCUAAAGCAAAACCAAAGCCUCAGUAAAUGAAAGCUUUCAGACUAUAAACCAUUGAGAAAAUAACUUGCCUACUGAGAACUUGUUUUGUGAAGUUUCGGCUGCGCUCUAGCCUUCUAUUUAGUCUGUGUACACUAUUCUAUUUUGAGGAACAGUGUGCCUCAGAUACACCACCACAGACCUCUUGUCAGCAAUGUGACUUGCUGAAACAUUUCCCUCUGUAAUGUCUACAAGGCCGUUUCUUUGUGUUCCACAACAUUUCUUUAUCAUCGUCUCUUGUGGCAAACAAGAUGAGGUAGAUGGUCCACAGUGCCCACAGGUUUCCCACCAGGGAUUUGUGUAGUUUGUGUUCACGACAUAUGAUGCAGCACAUUUUCUGGUAAUUCAAUAAAUGAAUAGUCUAUAUUAAAUAACCACAUGCUAAAGCCUAUUCUUUAUACACCUGUGUGAAUUAGACAAAUGAAAAGUAUAUUCUCAUUUUAUUUAGAACUUGAGUGCAAAAUAUGCGCAAGUUUCAACUAAGGUUAUAGAAAAUAAUGAAUAUUCCUAGCUAUAUACUGACUGUUGAUGCACACAAAUACAUAGUAAUCAGAUUGAGACAAUAGUUUUCAUUUAACUACACUCGGCUUUCCCGUAAGCACAAUUAUUUUCAAUUCAGAUGUUGUGAGAAACACACAUACUGACUUCAGUACAUGCUCAUCAAUUCAGACAACGCAAUCGUGUGUCAUGAUAUCUCUAUAGGAUGCCGUCACGAUAUAAUUCCAUUGAAAUCAUCGACCAGCCCUACCUCUUAACUAGUCACAAAAUGUUCAGUUUUAAACUUUAAACAUUUCUGUAAACUGUAGGUGUUGCAAAAUGAGUUCGCACAUUAUCCGUCUGUGGCUCUUUUUGAGAUGACCAAAUGAUUGAGGAAGCAGCUCCCAGCGCGAGGUCUAGAUGAGUUUCCCCUCCUCCCCGUUGUCGAGGGACUCUGUGUAAUGUAGGCCAGUACCAGCUCGUGGUACAGUACGCUCUGUGUCUCGUGCAGCUGCAGCGAUGCUCGUAGAACAAUGAGCCUUUGCCUAUCCACAACAGCUCCUUAGGAUCAGCCCUCGGUUCAAGUUGGACUGUUAUUACUCUGUGGGGCCAUUCAUCGCAGAGAGCAAACGGCAGACAGAGGAGAGAGUAGCCGCUGAUAUGGGCUCUGUAGACUAUGCCACAGGCCGAGUGUUGGGGGAUCCAUGAUGGAGCUUGGCCGAGUGGAGAACAGAGUAGAGAGUAGGACUAUCUAUGUUGGUCAUCGGUCAUCUUCCACCAAUGAGGCUAUCAUCCCACCCAAGUUCUGUGAUAACAGGAUUGUGUCUUCCAAGUAUACAGUUUGGAACUUUCUACCAAAGAACCUGUUUGAACAGUUUAGAAGAAUUGCCAAUUUCUACUUCCUUAUCAUUUUCCUGGUGCAGGUGAUAGUGGACACCCCCACCAGCCCAGUCACCAGUGGCCUACCCUUAUUUUUUGUGAUUACAGUAACCGCGAUCAAGCAGGGCUACGAGGACUGGCUGCGACACAAGGCUGACAAUGAGGUGAAUAAGUUCCCAGUGACGGUGCUAGAGGAAGGCCGGAGGAUACAGAAGGACAGUGAGAAGAUCAAGGUUGGAGAUGUUGUGGAGGUGAAGGAAGACGAGACCUUUCCCUGUGAUUUAAUACUGCUGCAGUCUAGCCGAGAUGACGACACAUGUUUCGUUACCACAGCGAGUCUGGAUGGAGAGUCCAACCAUAAAACACAUUACACGGUGCCAGACACAGAGAAGGAUCUGGAAACUCUCAACGCCACCAUCGAGUGUGAACAGCCACAGCCUGACCUUUACAAGUUUGUCGGCAUUAUGAACAUCGACGGACACGAUCAGGAGUCGGCAGCAAGGUCUUUGGGCCCAGAAAACCUCCUGCUGAAAGGGGCAACUUUAAAGAACACUCAGAAGAUCUGUGGUGUGGCGAUUUACACUGGCAUGGAGACAAAGAUGGCUCUCAACUACCAGGGAAAGUCUCAGAAACGCUCUGCUGUGGAGAAGUCUAUCAAUGCCUUCCUUCUGGUUUACCUUUGCAUAUUGGUGAGCAAGGCCCUAGUGUGCACGACACUUAAGUAUGUGUGGCAGAACAAGCCCGGACAGGAUGAGCCUUGGUACAACGAGAAAACCCAGAGAGAGAAGGACACCAAUCUGUACCUAAAGAUGUUCACUGACUUCCUGUCCUUCAUGGUGCUCUUCAACUUCAUCAUUCCGGUAUCCAUGUAUGUGACGGUUGAGAUGCAAAAGUUUUUGGGAUCCUUUUUCAUCACAUGGGACAAAGACUUCUUUGAUCCGGAAAUCAAGGAGGGAGCACUGGUCAACACGUCAGACCUCAACGAGGAGCUGGGACAGGUGGAGUAUGUCUUCACAGACAAGACGGGCACCCUCACUCAGAACAACAUGGAGUUCAUAGAGUGCUGCAUCGACGGCUUCCAGUACAAGUACCCGGACGCGAGCUCCGAGUUGGACGGAUUCUGUGUCACAGAUGGACCUGUGAACAAAGUGCAGGACAAAGCUGGCAGGGAGAAGGAGGAGCUGUUUCUGCGUGCCCUGUGUCUGUGCCACACAGUGCAGGUGAAGGAGUCUACAGAGCAGGGUCAAGGCCAGGAGGACGGACUGAUGGACCAGGUGGAUGGAGAGGUGCUCCAUCCACUGCGGGAGCAGAGAGGCUUUAUUGCCUCCUCGCCUGAUGAGGUUGCUCUGGUCAAGGGUGCCAUGAGGUUUGGCUUCACAUUUCUGGGCCUGGAAAGUAAAAACAUGAAAAUUCUCACCAGGAACAAUGAUAUUGAAACGUACGAACUGCUUCACGUGUUGAACUUUGACCCAGUGAGAAGGCGAAUGAGUGUAAUUGUCAGAUCCAAAUCAGGUGAUACAUUGCUCUUCUGUAAGGGAGCAGACUCUUCCAUCUUUCCUCGCGUCAAACAGGAGGAGGUUGAAAGAAUACGCAUGAAUGUGGAGCGUAAUGCGACAGAGGGCUACCGGACACUGUGUGUGGCCUGCAAAUAUCUCAGUGCAGAGGACUACGCCCAGGCAGACGCAGGAUUGAGGGAAGCUAGACUGGCUCUGCAGGACAGAGAGGCGAAGCUCAUGGCUGUUUACAACCAAGUGGAGACCGGCAUGAGUCUAAUAGGAGCUACUGCUGUAGAAGAUCGACUCCAAGAGGAGGCAGCGGAGACCAUGGAGGCUCUGCAGGGUGCAGGUAUUAAAGUUUGGGUCCUAACGGGGGACAAGAUGGAGACGGCAAAGUCCACCUGCUAUGCUUGUAGAUUGUUCCAGAGAAGCACAGAGCUGUUGGAGCUUACUGUGCGUACUCUGGAGGAUGGAGGGAGGAAGCGGGAGGAGCGACUGCAUGAGCUCUUGCUUGAGUACCACAGGAAAGCUGUUCAGGAUGCACCACCGAUUAAGGCAGGCGUCACCAGGACCUGGUCUUCAGCAAACCAGGACUAUGGUUUCAUCAUAGACGGAGCCACUCUGUCGAUGGUGCUCAACGCCUUCUCUGAGUCCAACUCAAGUAGCUACAAGAACCUGUUCCUGCAGAUCUGUCAAAACUGCACAUCUGUGCUCUGCUGCCGCAUGGCUCCUCUACAAAAGGCACAGAUCGUUAAGAUGGUGAAGAAUUCUAAAGGCAGCCCAAUCACUCUUUCCAUUGGAGAUGGGGCCAAUGAUGUCAGCAUGAUUUUGGAAGCUCAUGUUGGCAUUGGUAUUAAGGGUAAAGAGGGUCGGCAGGCAGUGAGGAACAGCGAUUAUGCCAUCCCCAAACUCAAGCACCUCAAGAAACUGUUGUUGGCUCAUGGGCAUCUCUACUAUGUCCGCAUUGCACACCUGGUGCAAUAUUUCUUUUACAAGAACCUUUGCUUCAUCUUACCUCAGUUUUUGUACCAGUUCUUCUGUGGCUAUUCCCAGCAACCCCUGUAUGACGCGGCCUAUCUGACGAUGUACAACAUCUGCUUCACCUCUAUGCCCAUCCUGGCUUACAGUCUCCUGGAGCAGCACAUCUGCAUUGAGGUUCUGCUGGACAACGCUACCCUCUACAGAGAGAUUGCUAAGAAUGGCAUGUUACAGUGGAGACCGUUCCUCUACUGGACUUUGCUUGGAGUCUUCCACGGCUUGCUCUUCUUCUUUGGUGUUCGAUAUUUGUUCAGCAACCCAGCACUGCAGGAUAACGGCCAGGUUUUUGGCAACUGGUCAUAUGGAACAAUUGUCUUCACUGUCCUUGUCUUCACUGUCACACUUAAGCUCGCUCUGGACACACGGCACUGGACAUGGAUCAACCACUUUGUAAUCUGGGGCUCCCUGCUUUUCUACGUGUUUUUCAGCUUCUUCUGGGGAGGAAUAAUAUGGCCUUUCCUGAAGCAGCAACGUUUGUACUUUGUUUUCGCCAACAUGCUGAGCUCAGUGUCCGCCUGGCUGGUCAUCAUCUUGCUCAUCCUGCUCAGCCUACUGCCAGAGAUCCUGCUUGUGGUGUUCCGCAAGCCUCGUGGGCCCCACGCUCGACAGAAGAAGCCGGUUCAGUCGAACGUGGGGGGCCACCAGUCUCCCCGGUCUUCAGCCAGGCCCCUGCUCAUGAGAACCUUUUCAGAUGAGUCCAAUACUGUCAUUUAAACAGGUACCAGCCCACCUCCAGGCCAUUUAAGCCAAUCAAAGACUAGGGUCCCCCAGCCAACCUCUCCAGUUUUCUGGUCACUAACGCUGAGUUCUAACAAGGGAAUCAAAGGCAUACAGGCCACAUUCAACAAGACCCAGUGUGUCCCUCUGUGUUGUAUGAGCUGAUAUUGGCUGGCUGAAGAGAUGCACCUUUUCCAUGUUAGAUUGUCAACAUUUUUUUAGUUAAGAUGGUGCACCUAUGUAACAAGUGAAUGCAUCUCUAGGCCUAAUGUUGCAAACCUUAAAAACAUGCUCCUUUCAGCCUCCCUUUGGAAGCCCUGCUUUUAUAACCGUCUGCAUGUGCUUUUAAAAUCCCAAUUUCCUUUUUAAUUUCAGUCUAUCUCAUUUUUGUACAAAGUGUGUCUGAGUGUGAGGUGUGUCUUUCAGUUUGCUUGGGUUUUCCUGUCUGACCAUCUGAAACCACAGCGCUGGUCUGUGAUUAUAACUGCAGUCUGACAUUCAUGUACCGUUUAUACCGCUGAAGUUUGUCCGUGGUCGCUUCGUCCCGUGUGCACGUACAGACCUGUGUUGGUGGUUGCCGGCUGCUUACUUUCCUGGCAAAAACAAAAAAUGGAAUGCAUUUGUGAGUGCUGAGCUUAACUCACUGCAUGAUGUGAUGUUGCCUUAACCUCAGACAUUGGUGCUGCAUUACAUAAAGGGGGUGUCGAAAUGAAUGGAAACAUUACUUGAUGAAAUAUUUUAAAGAUCGUACAAGGUAAAUAUGGACAAACAAUAUUACAUAAAUACAAUAAUAAGACUUUAUGGAAUAAAUAACAUAUGGAGAAAUAUGAGAUCUAUAUGGAAUUGCAAAUGAUCAUAUACAUUUUUAAAACACAGUUCAUUUAUUCCAGCAGUUUAUGUUAAAAUGUCAAUUUUCUUUUUAUUUAUGGUUCUGGGCCCUUUUUUAAACUUUUAUUUCAUAGAAGACAGUAGAGAGAUGCUUUGUGGUUAAAAGUGGUGUUAUGAAAUAAUAAGAGUCACUGCAAGAGAAUGGCUCUGUGGUUUAAAAAACUACAUUAAGAACUGCUGGCAUUAAAUAAAAUAACAGAAAAACUGUUAUUUUGAAAAGAGGCAGGAUGAAAUAACGUUUUAGAAUAUGCCGAGUUUUUAAAUGUAUUGGCUUAUUUCAUAAUUUCAUGGUUUAUUGACUUAAUAUUAAACACUUUUAGUCCCAAAUAUACAGAAGACUUGGGUAGAUUGACAGUAUAAAGAGCACCGGAGGUGUUCUGAGGUCUGAAGGGCAUCGACACCUUUUUAUGUACGUGAUAUUGUGUUUUUAUGUUUUAAGUGUUUUCAUGUUUUUUGUCAACCCUUGUAGGUGGGUCUGUAUGUCGCACCUUCCCAUCACUGUUGACCAGGGUCACUCAUAUCUGUUACUUAACAAUAGCAUCAGGCCACUGUUCACAGUUUAACUUCCAUUUCUAUCCUCCCAAUAGCUGUCAGAGGACGUUCUCCUACAAACAUCCAGACUGCAGCUGUCACACCACUCUCCUAUAAGCACCUGAAGGAGCGCCAGUGAAAGGCAGCAAGGAAUGUGUCCCAUACCAUUCAGGUCAGAGCUGACUGCCAUCAUGCCUGGUCUUAAAAGAGGAGAAGAAGAAGAGGAAGAAAAAACAAGAAGAAGAAAAAGAGUGAUGUACUGACUGGGGGGGGGGUAAAAAGGGGUUUAGCAGUCUAUUGACUUGCGUCUCCCCGUCUUUCUCUGCCCAAUCCCAACAGCUCCUACACACCCCCAACGCAUGCCUGCAGAGCAGUGCCCUGCAUUAUUUUUUUAAAUAUCUACUCAGAUGACAGGCAUGAUUUUUCUUUCUUUUACUUCUUUUUUCUUUUCUAAAUACUAGCUUACAAAUGAAUGCAUACACGGCUGCCUUGUCAGUAGCUCUAUCCAACUGCUGUGUUUUAACAAGCAGUCGUAAUAAUAUCCACUCUAAGAAUGGUUCACCUGCAUGAAAGAAGGCUCAAAAGAACUCUUCACUCCACUAAUGUUCAAUCACUGUGUUCUGCAAAGUUGCGUUUCAUUCUCUCCAUGGUUACACUUUGAACGGUUAUUCUACUUUAUACUUAUUGUGCUUUUCAACAGUUAUUCUUUAAAUGAUUGUGUUUCAGUUCUUGCAUUCAUGCACAACUCUAAAUUAUUCUAAGAAAAAAACGUUCUGUGGUUGAUGGAGGCUUAUAUGAUUGUUUGUUUCCAAUGAUAAAUCUGCAUUCUCUUUUGAAUACUAAGAUAUAAGAGGAGCUAAUGGAGGCCAUAUUUACCACUCGAUCCAAAGUGUGUGAGAGUGUGUGUGUGAGUGUAUGCAGGAUUGAGAGAUAGAUUAGAGAUGUUAAGCAAUAAGACAUUGCUCGGAGCGAGACCUAAAUCUUGCAACCUCAGAGAUAAUUUAAAAGUCAAUUUAAGAUGAGAAUAUUAAUAUAUGUGCUGUACUGUGUAUAUUUAGCUUAGAGAUGUAUGAGCGCAUCCGCUCAAAGCCAAAAAGAUGAACGUAAUGCGAUCAGAUUCUGUCCACACGAGUGCGACCUGAAAGUUGCGUGUGUGUGUGUGUGUGUGUGUGUGUGUGUGUGUGUGUGUGUGAGAGAGAGUUAGUGUAAGUGCAUGCUGGAUGAGAAGAGCCAGAAACGCCCGUGUGUCAUGAGAUUACUUAAACCUCAUUGAUGUCGUUCGCCGAGACAUUUCCUGCACUAUUUAGAACGCUGGUCUCCUCAUUGCUUAGAUGGUCACUAAGGUCCAUGAUUAUAUGCCCGAGCGCGCACACAUCGGAUAGACGAGAACACAUGCACACAAAAUAACACGUUGUACACGUUAAUGCGUACAUGCACUAAAGCCUAAAUGAGGUAUUCAUGUUCAUUAACCAUUAUCUAGUCUGCAUAAUUUGUCUCAGGCAGGCUGACGUUGGAGUGUAAAGAAAAUCAACUCCAGACCUGCAGAGUCAACAUAGUUCACACCACUCCAGGCUCCGUCUCACUCCUUCUCUCUUUGGUCAAAUUUGCUGACUGACAGGAUGACCGAGUGGACCGUGUGUUCCUUCCUUUAACUUCUUGUGUGCUUCAUACAUUCCAUUUAAACAUGCCAUGAUUUCAAACACUUUAAAAUACUCGUUCUGAAUAUAUUCUUGUUUUCUGUUAUUUCCACAAGCCUGUAUUGUCUAUUUGACAUAUUUAUUAAGUGUACUUUUACUCACAAAUAUUAUACUUUUAUUAUGUAAAGCUUUUUUUUUUUAUAUAUAUAGUGAAGAUUGGUCAGCUAUGUGCUAGCUGACUCUGUGUGUUACUCCAGCCCUAAUGUGAGCCCGUGCCAGUCCCUUUUAGUAGUCUUUGUCAUACACGCAAAGACAGGCAGCCCCCACAACACACUCCCAGUAUCCCAGAGUCGACCUCUGAACCAGUGCCAGUCCUUGUACCAGGUGAUCUCAACUCUUGGUGUAAACUGAUGAGUACCUGUUACUAAUCAUCUGUCAGAGUGGUGAUUUAUAGAGUUUACUACACCACAGAUCCACCACUGCUCCAACAACAACUCCAGUGCAGUACUUUCUCGUACUGACCUUGUAUUUCACUCCACUGACUGUAGCCUGACAUAUCUGGUCAUAACGCCUAAUGGAAAUUAAAAGAAUUAAAUUAUUGUUAAUUUGCUUUUAACACAUGGACAAAUUGACCAGCCUUUCAAUGUCAUUUUCUACUAAGACGACAUGUUUUUCUGAUAGGACUAUGAAGGAGGCUGUUCUUUACUCUGACGUGUCGCCUCCAGACUUGGCUUUGCCGGAGACACCAGAUGUAAGAGAGGACACAUUGAGAGGGGCUGCCUGCUUUGUUAAUAAAACAUUAUAAAACCUUUAAGUGACAUCAGAGAUGCUAUUUUCAGAGCUUAAAAAUACCUUGAAAUCUAACAUUUUGCCUGUUUAAAUGAAAAGUAUAAAAGAAUGGAUUGUAUUUUUAAUGCAACCUUUUUCCAGCCACUUUUGUAAUAAAAUGAAAACGUCCAAAAAAAAAAAAAAAAAGAAGCACGAGAGGCUUUGUGGUUGUGGACGCUGUCCCUGUCUGUGAGGGCUGGAGGUGGACUUCUUCAGGCACCUCAGCAGCCCUGCAUAAUGCGGCAGGGACACCUCGCCACCUCCAGCCCUUUGGGUCUCCAGCCUCAACACUCCAAACCUCCAAGCUGAAUGUACCUCUUUGAAACUAUAUGUUCAAAACCUGAAGAUUUUCUCUAAUAAAGCAGAAUGUUUUGAAGAUAAA